AAAUAUACACAUCGUUAAGUGUUCAGCAUAACAUCACUGUUUCGCUCGCAGUACCUUUCGGCGAUUUGCCUUCACGCUCCUGUGCGUCAAAAACGUGAAAGUUCAAAAGCGGCAACGUCGAAAUGAACACUUAGCUAAUAAUUCAAUAAUGUCUGUAGAUAUUGUGGGAGCUGACAGACAAGACUAAUGUGCCACCAAGAACACGUUUAAAUACUUAAAACAUUCGAUACUUCAAUCAAAAUAACGAUGUAAUAAUCUGUAAAUAAAUUGAAUUCAUGUUUCACACGAAGGCCCGUUCACGUUUUGUGUCAAAUCGGAUCCCCUUUGCUACAGUUUUCGCGCACUACACGAGGUGACUUGGCAGCACAAAGCAUUGGGAAAUGCAUGGAUUCAGAUGUAGUAUCUGUGAGAAAGUACUGAAAUGUAAAGGUGGAUAUACUGUUCAUCAGCAUAUGACUUGAAGUCAAAAGAAACGGAGACCAUUCAGUCAUUUCUACAGAUUUCCAAGCACGAAUGCUCUUAUGUUCAGCUGAGAACAAAAAUGAUGAACAAGCAGAAAAUACAGCAGCAAAGGACAAGGAAGAGAUGGCACACAUUUUAAGAAUAAAAUUAACUUAAUAAAUAUUCAGAUCAUUUCUAAGGGAUGUUACAUUUGGGAAUUCACUUUCCCAGUAUAGUACAGAUACUAGUUGUGUGAUUUGAACCCACCCUCUAAGAGUGAAACACCUUAUCACAGAACAACAUUGUCAGCAAUUUAACCUGACAAAUGUUAGUCAAGGUCUCGAUCAGAGAAGUGUAAAUGCCACAAUUACAAUUUUUUGCAAAGUUAUGCAAAUAAGAAUGUCAAAACUAUUUGGUUUAAUAAAUAGUAAUUAUUAAACUUA
rnacentral:lncRNA from 1 species